CGCAAGGAGAAAGUGGCAUCCAGGCCUGUUGCUGGCACAUGGCGACUGCAGAGACUCCUCCUGGACACCCUCAUGAUGGGAGGAAGCCCUCCGCGUCCUGGCCCAGCUCUGGCUGCCCCAGUUUGCUGCUGGGCCUUGACGGGCUGGGAGCUGAGGAUGGCUGUCCGUCGCGGUCUCUCCCCCGUCUGUGGCAGCAUGCCUGUUGCUCUCCGUGGUGAAAUGCCGGUCCUCUUUCCCUGGAUUCUGGUCUCGGUGGUCCCUCCAGCCUCCUGCUCCUGACUCUGCACCUCCAGCGUCCCUUCAGCCUGACUCUCAGCGCAUCUCGAAAGGCAGGAGAAACACUCGUCCCUGGAACUUCGCUGGAACCUUCUCCAACUGUCUCCCCAACGGCCAACAGCUGCCUCCUCUCCUGUGGCUCCAGGAACCUUCCUGAACCCUCUCAAACUCUCAACAUCUGCAGGCUCUCUCCGUGAUUACCUUAAGAGCCCAA